AGAACUUUAGUAUAUUACACAUUACAUGAUUCUGUCAGAAUCAAAACAUAGAUACUCUCUAUAAGUUCUA
rnacentral:tRNA from 1 species